ACAGAAAUAGCAUAGAAAUAGUACAAGUCUAAUGGUAUUAACAUGAAUAACUGAUUUGAAAUACAAUAACGCUCAAGAAAUGGUAAUACAGUGUCAUGAGCUCUAAUAAAAAGUACAAGUCUGGAAUACAGAAUAUUGAUACUGUUUGAAUGAAAAUAACAGUACAAAAGGAAAAGAGACACCAAGACUACGGUCGGGAUGCAACUCUACCUCGUCUCUCCAAAAUGCUCACAACAACACCUCACAGCUAGCCACAACUCAGUCCGACACCUGGAUCUGCACAAUUAAGUGCGGAGAGUACUAUGAGUACAAUCGACCCCAUGUACUCAGCAAGUAUCAUAACUAACCUCGGCGAGGUAAUAAAAGUAAGAAUUAUAAUAAUACUCGCUAAUCACCUGUACAAUUCAUAAAUCCAACAAGUACAGAACAACAAUAUGUUGAAGUCAUGAAUCACAGAAAUAACCAUCUUGGUACACACAAUUACUUAAUGUACUCUGCUCAGUCAAAAAUUCAGCAUAUAAAGAAGAUAUGCAAAUAAAGCAUAUAGCAGUCAAGGAAGUCGCAAGUAAAGAUGAAAUGCAACAACCGAAUCAAACACCGACAAACGUUUCCUCAAUAUUACUAUUUCAGUACCAAACCACUUAUCAGUUUUUCUCAACAACCGUGUGUACAUCAUCAAGAAAGAACAUGAGAGGGUGACCCUAGGGGGAUGGAUCCAUAUCCACACGCUGCACGGACAACUCACGUGCUGCACGGACAACUCACGUGGCGCACGGACAACUCACGUGGCGUACGGACAACUCACGUGCUAAUAAUAUCAAUAUCUAGAUCCGCACGGACAACUCACGUACCAAUAAUCGUAAUCCGUCUGGCGUGGUCACAGUCUCAAUAUCACAAUCCGCCCGACGUGGUCACUGGCUACCAGUCCAGAUCAUAUCACACAGAAAGCAAAUAUACAAGAAUACAUGUACAUGAUCAAUAAAUAUCAAGUUUCAUACUCCUUGACUGAUAUAAAUGACAUGCUAAAAUGUAUGCAUGUACAAAGUGUGCUAUCAUAACUCAAUCCGGCAAAUACAUCACGAAAGUAGCAAUUUAUCAUGUUCAAUCGGGAGAGUAACCUCAACGUAACCUCAAAUAUAAUACAAAUAGCUCACAAAAAGGGUACAAAUAGGAGAAACAUCACAGUAUAAAGCUUAGCAAUCAAAUUAAGGCAUAUCAUAGCCUAAGCACUAUCCCAAGCAUGAAAUAUAACCCGGUGGACGCACAUAGGCGUAGCCCACAUAUGUGUGCCACCCAUAGCACGUAACUAUCAUAAAUGAUUCAGGCAACUAGUGCCUCAACCAAGUUUAGGUAAGAUACUUACCUCAAGCAAGCUAAAUCGAAAGCCCUUCCUGCGUGAGACAUCCUCCGGAUGGCUCGAAUCAAUCCAAAACAACUUAAUAUCAUCAAUAAAAGACAUAGGAAACGAUUCUAAAUGCUAAAGCUAAGAUCCUUAAUCAAAAUCAGAAAGUCAACCCUAGGUUUGCAUCAUGGAACACGUCCAAAUUCACAAAUUCCGAAUACCCACUACGAUACGAGUCCUAAAAUAUGUGCUUCAUCUAAUUUCAAUCUCAAAUCGACUCUCCAAUAUCAUAGUCCAAAAAUCCUACCUUAAAAUAUUAUAAAUUAGAUGUAAUAAUCAAUGGAUAAUCAAUAGCUAACUCCAAAAUUAAGUAGAGAUCACUUACCCCUUCAAUUGUGAUGAAAAACACUCAAAAUAUUGCCCUAAACCGAGCUCCACAAUUCAAAAAAUGAGAAAAAUGACCAAACCUUCGCUAUUAAAUUCUGCCCAGCAAAAUCGCACCUGCGGUCCAUAUAUUCGCACCUACGAUGCUGCGUCUGCAGAAAUACCAUCGCAGAUGCGGAAACAACUAAUCCCCCAUCCAUCCGCUUUUGUGGCUCUGCUUCAGCGGAAGCUAUUGCACAUUUACGCUUACGCACCUGCGCCCUGCAGCUCCGCAUCUGCGGACUACCUCCGCCAGCCUCCUCCUCCGCACUUGUGCUCAAACGGCCGCACCUGCAGCUCCGCAUCUGCGGCCAAGCCACCGCAAAUGCGAAAAUGCCAGAAGCCAAACUCUUCAACAGUCCAUUCAAGCCCAAAAAUAGUCCAAACUCAAUUCGAAACACACCCGAGGCUCCAUCUAAUCGCACUUACCAAUCCUAAAGCAUAACACGAACUUACUCAAUGCCUCAAAUCACACCAAACAACAUCAAAAUCACGAAUCGCACCUUACUUCAAGCCUAAGGAAGCUAAUAAACUUUCAACUUCUAAAACCCAUACUGAACCAUACCAAAUCAACUCUGAAUGACCUCAAAUUUUGCAUGCUAGUCCUAAUGACACAACAGACCUAUUCCAACUUUCAGAAUUAAAAUUCGAACCCGAUAUCAAUAAAGUCAACUCUCAGCCAAACCUAUCAACCUUCCAAACCUUCAACUUUCCAACUUUCGCCAAAAAUACCAAACUAACCUACGAACCUCUAAAUCUACAUCCGGACAUACGCCUAAAUCCAAAAUCACCAUACGAAAUUAUUGGAACCCCUCUAUUCCAAAGCCGUCUACACAAAAGUCAAACUCCGGUCAACUCUUACAACUUAAGCUUAUGAAACUACGAACUUUCGAAUUCUAAAACUAAUGCUGAUUCAUACCACAACAACUCUGUUUGACUUCAAACUUUGCAUACAAGUCAUAAAUGACACGACGGACCUAUUCCAACUUUCAAAAUAGGAAUCCCACCCCGAUAUCAAUAAAGUCAACUCCCGAUCAAACUUUCUAAUCUUCCAAACUUCAACUUUCAAACUUUCGCCAAUUCAAGUUAUAACGACCUACAUACCUCCAAAUCAACAUCCGGACACUCUCCUAGGUCCAAAAAUCACCAACAGAGCUAUUGGAACCGUCAAAACUCCAUUCCGAAGAUAUCUGCACAAAAGUCAAACUACGAUCAACUCUUUCAACUUAAAGCUCCAACCUAGGGACUAUAUGUCCCAUUUCACUCCAAAACUCAUCCGAAACCAAAACCAAACACCCCCAAUAAAUCACAUAACCAUAAUUUAACAUAGAUGAGGCAAUAAUUAGGGGAUCGGGGCUAAAAUACUCAAAACGACCGGGCGGGUCGUUACAGCAUUAUACCAAACUCUUUAAUAAAUAAGUUAAAUUCUUUUAAAGGUUCCUAUUUUAAAAUUUUACAUAGCAUUAUGUCAAACACUUAAAUAAAUAAGUUAAGUUCUUUUAAAGGUUUCUAUUUUGAAAUUUAUUUAGCAUUAUGCCAAACACUUUCAAAAUAUAUUAUAUUCUUUCAAAUUAAAAUUCUCCGACACUCAAAAUUCCAUAUUCAUCCUAAAAUCUAUGUCUAUAAUUAUACUAGUUAAAUCUGAUUAUGCGUGUAUGUGUAUAAAGUCCGAAUAUGACUAAUGAAUGAUCAAAUCCACAUAAUUCAUUCUAACCUAGCAAACUAAAUGGGCAAAGCUCCGGCUAAGGAAAGAGAGGCAGAGAUAUGGAGGGUGCUUCUCAUGGUAUGUCGAGUCUUUCAAAAAUACACUAUCUAAGAUGCUUCCAAGGGCGACAUUAAUCACUAAACUAGAUUGGAUACAAAAAAUAAGUAAAGAGAAAAUAAAUUAGAUGUUCUUUAAAUCUAAAUAGAAAAUAGAAAUAUUAGCAAUAAAAUCGAAUUAGGUACUAAAACAAAUAAAGAGAAAAAAAAGUACUUACUACAUUGUCGUUGUUGCCGCCGGAGUCCGCCGAAGAUCUGCCAAGUUCCUCCUGAUUGUCAUUGCAACAUGUAACUGAAAAAGAAUAAAAAAAUAAAAAAAAUAAAGGCAAGGUCAGCGGCGGAGGCUGGAUCUCCACGAAGGAGGUUCGAAAAAAAAAAGAUAGUAGCUAGUGGGAAUUGAUCGUAUGACCUUUCAAAGAUUUUGAACCCCCUUGACCACUGAACUACACUUUUGGGUUGUGUCAAGGGGGUUCAAAACUUAAUAUAUAGAAGUGAAAAAUAGAUUUUGCCUUAUAUUUACAGUGUAAUUUUUCGACGAAAGGAGUUCGGAUGAACCUCUUCCGCCCCUAAAUCCGCCCCGGGGCAAGGUAACAAGCAAAAUGAGCUCUACCGCAUAGAAGAUGGAUGAGAGAGAGGGAGAGAGAGACUAACCAAAAAGAGCUCUGUUGCAAUUUUAGAAGUAGAGAGAGAGUAAGAGAGAGAGAGGAGAGAUAUAGAGAGGGGAAAGAGGGAGAAUGAAAUAGAACAGAAUUGGAUUUGAAAAAAUAAAUUAGACUUUGUAUUUUUACAAUGACAGACCGAAUCGGGUCGAUCAAUCAGCGUCGUUAAUAAAUCAGAUCUCAAAAAAAUAAAAGUCCGACAACUUCAGUUGGAACCUUAAUUUUUUUAAUUGUUGGUCAAAGAAAAGAAUUGACUUUCCUAACCAAUUAUUACCGUCAGAAGCUAAUUUUGCAGGUUUUCGCACGAAAGUUUCUUACUACUUUUGUAGAAAAGGUGGUCGAAUAUUUACAAACAAAAAAGGCAAACUAAAUGUGAACAAGUGUCCAACCAUGGUGGUCAAAAAUGGCGUCGAAACUCCGAUAACAUUUUUCGACCAGAAUUAUCGAUCAAAAAUUGCCUAAUAUCUGGUAGUGCAUAAAGGUCCUUGCACAAAGUAAACAAAGCAUCAAUAGGAGGAACGGUCCAAAAUAGUGUAUCCAUUUCAACUCCAAAUAUAGUCCUUGAUCUUCCAAAGCGACCCAGCACAUCUGCUACCCUAUUUGCCUGCAUGUAUAUAUAUAUAUAUAUAUAUGACAAGUGAGGCAAAUGACUUCUACCGAAAACUAAGAGAAGCAUUUUUCUCCCUUGCGAUGACAAAUGGUUUCUAAGAAAAAUAUUUUGUGGUAACGAAGCACCAGAAAUAACUCUCAUAAAAAAUAUUUUUAUGGAAAAUGACUAUUGCCAUAUCAGACACGCUUAUUCUCAUUUUCUUCAUAAUGCAAUAAUUCGUGAAAAACAAAAUAGAUAAAAAAAAAAUUGUACAAUAAGAAGCAUUAUUUAUUUAACUAGGAGUUGAUCCUUGAUUGACUUAAUUCUGUUGGAUCUUGAAGGAAAGUAUUAAGACAACAACAUUGAAAGUUUACAUGCAUUGCAACAAGUGUGAACUUGACCUAAAGAAGAGGCUACUCAAACACAAAGGUAAAACUCUAUGCAUAGUCCACCAAGAUCUUUAGUGUUAUCAGAGAUACUUUAUUUCAAUAAUUUCAACAUCUAUGUAUGCUUUUUUUUUUUGCAGGUAUUCAUAACGUGAAAACAGACUUCAAAGCUCAAACUAUAACAGUUGAGACAGUUCUUGAGUCAGAAAAAGUUGUGACAUAUGUGCAAAAAACUUUCCGCAAACACGCAGAAAUUAUAAAGAAGAAAGAGGAGGAAAAGAAGGAAAAAGUGACAGUUGAAGUGAAAACGACGACAGAAAAGAUUGUUGAAUUUAACGAAGUGAAGAAAGUAGAAGCAAAAAACAAAGAGGGUGUAGCUCCAUAUUUUGUUCACUAUGUAUAUGCCCCUCAGUGGUUCAGUGAUGAAAAUCCUAAUGCUUGUUCCGUCAUGUAGAUGCAUAUGUCAUGCAGGGACGGAUGUAGAACACAUAUUUCUAGUGUAUGUUGUGGUAAACCAAUUUAACUAUAGUAUAGCUUCGAACUCAUACUUUUUAACUUUGACUAGUUUUUGAACACACGCAUUGCGCGUGAAUCCCAUAUUAAUUUGUACAAAAAAAUUUAAGUAAAAACGUGUUUAAUUAUAAAAAUAAAUAUUAAAAAAAAAAUAUUAACAAUGUAACUCAAAGUCUAAAUAAAUUUCAAAUUGAAUGGUCUAAAAUGUCAGUCAUAUGCUAACUUAAUUUUCAAUAUAAUAUAGUCACACUUCUUCCUAUCAUUGUUUAAAAUAAUCUCAAAUCAUGAAAAGAUAAUAAGGACCAAUCAUUCAGUAAUUUAGUACGUGAAAGUAAAUAAAAUCAAGUAAUAAAUGCAUCAUAACAUGAAAUGGAUAAUCAAAGAGUAUAUUACUCUCUCGAUAUGGAAGUUCUCUAAAGGAAAGGGAAAAUGCAAAGAGAUUGAAGUUACUUUGGUAGAAUUAAGUCAAGCUUUUAAAAUUUGGAAUUAUAAAAAUAACAUAUAUGGAAUAAGAUAAUGCUUGGUCGUUCUCCGAAAAAACUCAAAACUUGUGAGUCUUACAUCUCGUAUGCCACUUUCGGUGAUGGAAUGCAUCUCCACAGGUCCUGCAUGAAAACAUCAUUCUUUUUUCAAAAUAUUCAAGACCUGAAAAGACAAAGAAGAUAAGAAGUUCAGAGAGUCAUUCUAUUGAAAAGGAGAAUAUUACUCUAUAAAUAAUGUUGCGGCCAAACUCACACGCAAGUAUACACGGUCGUCAAGUAAUAAAGUGAUAAGAGAGUAUCGAACCCACAAGGACUUGUUAUCAACUAUUAACUAGAUCAGACUAUCUUAAUUAUCUGAACAAGGAUUAAACCUAGAAGUAUUUGAUUCUAAACUAAUUAAAAUAAAGAAAAAUAAAUAGUGAACUCUGAACAAAAGAAGAGUA
rnacentral:lncRNA from 1 species